UCCCAGAAUUCCACUUUAUAGGCAUAUUAAUCAAAACUGGGCCUGCCCACCCAUCUGACCCCAUCAGCUGUGAGGGAAGUCACAGGUCCCACCCUUAAGCUGGUUGCCAAAUGGUGUUUUGGGCUCUUCUUUUCCCAAGAAGAGACUAGCCCAUUGUCACCAAUGCAGAGCUGGAAGCUGAAAUUGUUAAGGCAGAAUGAAAGGGAGAAAAGCACGUCCUGAGCACCAAGAAGAAGAUAACUCGGUGAGUCACGCAGGCCAUGGGGCAGGCAGUGUGCUCAGAGACCAGGCUAGACAGGGCCCUAUUCCCAAGGAGCUAGGGAAGUGGUUGAGCCAGAACUCUUGGUUAUAUUUGGCAUAAACCAACUUAAACUAGAUUAAGCGAAAGUGAAGUUUAGUUGGCUAACAUAACUGGGAAUCUUAAGGAUGGAUGGAUCCAAGGGCUCAAACAAUGCCAACUGUUCUCGUUCUCUCUCUCUCUCUCUCUCUCUCUCUCUCUCUCUCUCUCUCUCUCUCUCUCUCUCUCUCUCUCUCUCUCUCUCUCUCUCUCUCUCUCUCUCUCUCUCCCACCCCCCCCCCGCCCCCUCCCCUUCCCGCUUCCCGUCUAUCUCUGCCCAAGUUAAGAAGACGUGAUGGUACUUUGGAGAAGAAAGCAACACCUGAGUCAAAUUGCACUGAGCAACGUUCUUUGUUGUUGUGAGAUAUUGAUAAAUCUCCAGGUCUUCAACAAGGGGAGUCGAGAAUAGGAAACUCAUUUCAAAUCAUAUCUCAGGGUGACAAGAAGGUUACCAUAUUUGAGGCAGCCUGUUGGGUUGCCUGACGGCGAAAAUCUACAGAACAUUCUGCCUUACAUUGCUGGAGACUGUCUCCUACAACUUGAGUCUUUGAUACUGGUGUCACUUUCAGGAGCUCUAAGAAUACGUCAACUCUCGCUUCUGAGUUGGUGACCCCUCAACCAAGAAAGGACGGUGAUCUCAUUCCUCUCAGCAGGAGUGUUGAGCUCAGACAACUAUGAAAACCAAAAAUCAUCCCAGGUAGGUUAUAAGGGAUUGAAGAGAACCAGAGAGUGGCUCAUUCAUAGGAAGAAGCUGUGAUUUGGCACCAUGUGAGCGUCGUCAGAGAUAAAUGAAGAUCCAACACUGCCAGAGCUUUCAAAUCUCCAAGAGAAGCAUUCAACCUGAAUUGGUAUGUGAAAUGUCUCAGUUUUUAAAAGUUGACAACCAAAUCAGAAAAUAAUUUUAAACACCAUGUAGGCCCAAUGAAACACAUCUCCAAGCCAGAUCCAAAUCACAGAAUUCCAAUCACAGGUUGAAAUCCACUUCUCUAAAAUCUUUUCGUCUCUGACCGGGCAUGGUGGCACACGUCUGUAGUCCCAGCUACUCAGGAGGCCAAGGUAGGAGAAUUGCUUGAGCCCUGGAGUUCGACGCUAGCCUGGGCAACACAGCACGACUCAGUCUCUAAAAGUAAAAAUAAAAUAUUUUCUCCAAACUAGAGGUGUGGUGGUUUCUACAACAAUGGCAAAUGUUUGUGAUCUCUUUCGAUUUUUAUUUUCC
rnacentral:lncRNA from 10 species